rnacentral:rRNA from 1 species
ACCCAGACUCCUACGGGAGGCAGCAGUCGAGAAUCAUUCACAAUGGGGGAAACCCUGAUGCAGCGACGCCGCGUGAGUGAAGAAGUACUUCGUUAUGUAAAGCUCUAUCAGCAGGGAAGAAAAUGACGGUACCUGAGUAAGAAGCCCCGGCUAACUACGUGCCAGCAGCCGCGGUAAUACGUAGGGGGCAAGCGUUAUCCGGAUUUACUGGGUGUAAAGGGGGCGCAGACGGCAGCGCAAGCCAGGAGUGAAAGCCCGGGGCCCAACCCCGGGACUGCUCUUGGAACUGCGCGGCUGGAGUGCAGGAGGGGCAGGCGGAAUUCCUGGUGUAGCGGUGAAAUGCGUAGAUAUCAGGAGGAACACCGGUGGCGAAGGCGGCCUGCUGGACUGCGACUGACGUUGAGGCCCGAAAGCGUGGGGAGCAAACAGGAUUAGAUACCCUCGUA